UUGUAUUUGUUCGGAUGAGUUUAAUGCUGGAGUUAACCAAAUGGUAGCACCAUUGACAACUCAAAACUAAUGAAGACCUCAUUCAUAGAGAGAUGAUGUGACUUGCCCAGUUGCCCCCUGUUCCCCAUGCAUUGGUGUCAUCGCCUCAUCGGUCUGCCUGAAGAUUUAGCUCCACCUCCAUGGUCCAUAGUCAUGACACUACGACACCUGAAAUUGUUACGGCACAAUACUUAAGUUCUCGUCAUUAACUAAAGUGAAAAACGUCAACCUAGAUUUGCAAACUUGUCUGUCUAAUGUGGUCUAAACUGACUAUGGAAUAUGGACUAAUCACAUGUUCAUGCUUACCAAGAUGGAUUUUUGCAGAUGAAGAUUAAGCACAUCGACCCCGUAUCC
rnacentral:lncRNA from 1 species